rnacentral:rRNA from 1 species
CUUAAAACUCAAAGGACUUGGCGGUAUCCCAUUUCGGCCUAGAGGAGCCUGUCCUAUAAUCGACACUCCCCGUUCCACCCAACCUCCACUUGCACAUUCAGCCUAUAUACCGCCGUCGACAGUCUACCCCAUGAGGGCCUUUUAGUAGACACAAUAGCAACAACUCGCUAAUACGUCAGGUCAAGGUGUAGCAAAUGUUGAGGAAGAGAUUGGCUACAUUUUUUAUUUCAAAACAAACGAAAUGCAACAUGAAACACUGCACGAAGGUGAAUUUAGUAGUAAAAUGAACAAGAGAGUUCAUUUUAACACC